AGGGAACAUGGCCUGUUGUGUGGA
rnacentral:siRNA from 1 species